rnacentral:rRNA from 1 species
AUGACGGGGCGGCCGGUGAAGUCCCCGGCGAGCCUGGGGUUGAAGUGCAGUAUCCUGGGCGGCUCCUCCCCCUGCACGGCCUUGGUGCCCAGCAGCUCCACCAUGAACUGCGACGACGCCGCCCCCUCCCUCCUCCUCGGCCGGGCCACCACGGUCACCCGCGAGCCAACGGCCAUCCCGCACGGCAGCUCGACGGCCACCGGGGUGCUGGCGAGCCGGUCGCGGGGCACGGAGACUGCGGCGGGGCAGGACGCGGGGGCGGACGGGGAGGGGGAGGGGGAUGAGGAGGCGGAGGGGGAGAGGAGGUGGGGCAGGAGGGGAGCCGCGGCGGCGAAGGCGGAGGAGGCGGCGGCGUCGAUGGAGGAGGCGGAGGAGGGGUUUGCGCGGACGCGGAUGGAGGAGAGCGCGAGGCGGGCGCAGCGGGGUGGGUCGGGGGUCGGGAAGGUGCGCGUGUGGGGCCGGAGCGGCGCGGAUGUGGUGAUGGAGGAGGAGGAGCGGGCCUCGAGCUCGCGGCGGCGCGGGCGGUCGGCGGUGGCGACGGGCGCGACGGAGACGGAGGGCAGCUCGAGGAAGAGGAGGAAGCAGAGGUACCCCGCCGCCGCGAGCAUCAGCGCCAGCCGGCACGCGCGCUUGGGCGGCAUGGCGAUGGCGGUUCGCGUGGGCGUGGUGGCGGUCAGAGGAGGAGGGAGGUGGGAGUAG